UUACAAUUAUGCAACCCUAACAAUUCCUUUCUCACGGGCAAUUCUUCCUCUCCCAUUAUAAUACCAUAAAUCUUCUCUCUCCAAUCCCUCUUCUCAUCCUCACGCAGUUCAGAGAAGAUGAAGUUAUUGCCAUGGUUGGGUCUCCAUCAUAAAUCAAAAAAUUACCCCAAAAAUGGAAAAACAUUGGAUGUUUGUGUGUAUUCUGUACUAGUGACCGUGCAUAGUCUUGUGGAGUUCAUUUGGGCAAAAACAAUGGCUUUCGUUGGAACCUUGCGAUGCCUACCAUCUAUUUGCCACUUAUCAAAUUCGAUUCCAUCUGUAUCUCCUUCUUCGCUCUCUUUCCAUUUUCCACUUUCAAUUUUCAAUAGCAAAAGAUCCCUCUUGUCCAUCAGGUCAGCUUCGGUGGAAGGAUAAAUUAGGUGAAUGGAUUUUCAAGAGUAGAAGUAGAGAUGCAUUUCAUGAGGGCUACAUGUUUUCUAUGCUUGUCACAGAAUAAUUCGAUGUUUGGCCUGAGAAAAAUGUCCGUCAGCGAAUAUGGGGGUUGGGGAAAGAUGGAAGUGGCAUGGUAGAGCUUGUCCAAGUUCAAGUCAUGGAUACUAGAGCGGUACUAGGGAAUCAGCCUAAGGAGUUGGAUCUAAAACUCGAAGUGUAGGCUAGAGAUAGUUAUAAAGCUGUUAUUCAAAAGAAGGCCAUUGCCCGAUUUCGGGAAAUAUCAUAGGCUAGUUGACACGAAAGAAGCUGUUUUUCUUUGUGCUCCGCCAUUUGUUAUCCCUUUUGAGUUAUGUUUGUAGAGACGAUGCAACAAGAACUCUUUAAUCCUUACUCCUUUUUAGUUAGGUGGUGUUGUAUUACAUUUUAAUGUUCAAGUGUAUUGAUUCAAAAAUUUGUAAUGAAAUUAUUAAUUUUUAUGCAAUUCCAAAAUUUGUUCACAAA